GUCAGUCCCCACGUGGGAACCCGACCCUCCUCCACCCCCUCCCCGCCCCACUCCCUCCCCUCUCCAUGUCUCUUCUCUCUCUUCUUUCUCUAUCUCUGCUCUCUCCUCUCCCUCUCUCCCUUCCCCCACACCCCUCCUCUCUCUCUCUCUCUCUCUCUCUCGCUCUCGCUCUCUCUCUCGCUCUCGCUCUCGCUCUCGCUCUCUCUCUCUCGCUCUCNNNNNNNNNNCUCUCUCUCGCUCUCGCUCUCGCUCUCGCUCUCUCUCUCUCGCUCUCUCACUCUCUCUCUGUCUCUCUCUGUCUCUCUCUCCACCCACCUUAUCUACACCAGCUUCCUAGCUUCACGGAGUCGCCAACACCCUUCCUGCACCCCUGCUGGGGACCGGACCUUCGGAGAGCUGUUUGGGGUAACGGGAGAAGAAAAAGUGAAGCACUGGGCAAAACCAGAAGUGGUCAGCUUGAUCCAGGGCGUCUCCACUGUUCACGCACCGAGGAUCCCUAGCGGUCAGAGGAGAGGGAAACGCCCCUCCACCUUGUGGCUGGAACAGGCACCUUCUGGCCAUCUCCACCUAAGCUGGACCAGGCAACUGGGUGUUGGAUGCUGGAGAGGUCUGGAGGUCCGAGACCACCGCCUCUGCUCUGCUUUCCCUGCCUGGGGAAGGGACGGAAGGAAGAAGGAGUAGCGGAGGAGAGAGUGCCGAUUAGAAGCUGCGAAAACUGGCAGGAACAACCCACCCCGCAGGGCUGGGGGGGAUUGAGCGGUAUUCAGUGAGCCAGGAAAGGGUCUCGGAAUCCCUUGGAACCCCCGAGGAGUCUGCGCUCUCACCCACAGAGCGAGGGCGCACUGACACCUGCUGGCGGCUCGCGGUCAGUGCUGAGUACCCUCAAGCAGCUCGAUACACAGGGUUCUGGAGAGACUUGAGAACUUCAGCAUGGAUAACCUAGGGCUUCCUACCUUCAAUAAGGACGAUACUACUUAAAGGAAAGGGGGUUUCCGUUUUCAAAUAAUAUUGGAAUGUGUUAUUUCAAAAACAUCCAAAGUUCCUAAAGUAGAAAACCAUUGUCUUUUUUCCUACUUCUUUCCUUUUCUUUCUUUCUUUUGCCCACAAUAGUGGGGUUAAUUAUGCAUAAAUAAAUAUAAAAGUCAAAGGAGAUCUGCUCUUAUG
rnacentral:lncRNA from 1 species